GACGAACGCUGGCGGCGUGCUUAACACAUGCCAGUCGAACGGAAAGGCCCUGCUUUUGUGGGUUGCUCGAGUGGCGAACGGGUGAGUAACACGUGAGUAACCUGCCCUUGACUUUGGGAUAACUUCAGGAAACUGGGGCUAAUACCGGAUAGGAGCUCCUGCUGCAUGGUGGGGGUUGGAAAGUUUCGGCGGUUGGGGAUGGACUCGCGGCUUAUCAGCUUGUUGGUGGGGUAGUGUCUUACCAAGGCUUUGACGGGUAGCCGGCCUGAGAGGGUGACCGGCCACAUUGGGACUGAGAUACGGCCCAGACUGCUACGGGAGGCAGCAGUGGGGAAUAUUGCACAAUGGGCGGAAGCCUGAUGCAGCAACGCCGCGUGCGGGAUGACGGCCUUCGGGUUGUAAACCGCUUUCGCAUGUGACGAAGCGUGAGUGACGGUAAUGGGUAAAGAAGCACCGGCUAACUACGUG
rnacentral:rRNA from 1 species